rnacentral:rRNA from 1 species
GGAGGGAUCAUUACCGAGUUAUCCAACUCCCAACCCCUGUGAAUUAUACCUUUAAUUGUUGCUUCGGCGGGACUUCGCGCCCGCCGGGGACCCAAACCUUCUGAAUUUUUUUAAUAAGUAUCUUCUGAGUGGUUUAAAAAAAAAUGAAUCAAAACUUUCAACAACGGAUCUCUUGGUUCUGGCAUCGAUGAAGAACGCAGCGAAAUGCGAUAAGUAAUGUGAAUUGCAGAAUUCAGUGAAUCAUCGAAUCUUUGAACGCACAUUGCGCCCGUCAGUAUUCUGGCGGGCAUGCCUGUUCGAGCGUCAUUACGCCCCUCAAGUCCCCUGUGGACUUGGUGUUGGGGAUCGGCGAGGCUGGUUUUCCAGCACAGCCGUCCCUUAAAUUGAUUGGCGGUCUCGCCGCGGCCCUCCUCUGCGCAGUAGUAAAACACUCGCAACAGGAGCCCGGCGCGGUCCACUGCCGUAAAACCCCCCAACUUUUUAUAGUUGACCUCGAAUCAGGUAGGACU